UAAUGCACCAGAUCAUAUUAGCACUAAUGCACCGGAUCCCAUCGAUCUCCAUAUUUAAGCAUGCUUGGACGAGAGUAGUACUAAAAUGAGUUACCUCCUGGAAAGUCCUCGUGUUGCAUAAA
rfam:Lupinus angustifolius cultivar Tanjil contig_15146, whole genome shotgun sequence.